AGCCCUCAGAUGCUGCUUAUCUAAGGAACACUGCACCUUUCUCUAGAGAGGAAAGGAAGUUUAAUUAAACUGCCCCAUCAAGAAGAACUGUAAUGAUGAAGCAUGAUUAAAGUGACGUGGCAGAAACUGCAAACAGAACAGGAAGAAAAUAUAUUGAAACAGAAGUCAAAAAGUGGAACAAUGAGAAAGAAAAUGGAAGUUAAUUAUUGUCUCUCAUAUGAAGGGUCAGCAGCAGCACCCAGCAUCCUUGGGCAGCUGCUUUGGUGGGGACAAUUUGCUUCAGCAAAGCCUACCAGAAAUACCUUCUCUGGGUUCCCCACUUUGCCCAAUCUCCUCCCCAGACUCACCAAGAGCAGGGCCUUCUCAUGCAAUUUCUUUCCCAUCCAAACUUUCACCAGUUCAUAGCACCUACUAUGCAGGGGUUCCGCUUAAUUUUUUGGGCUGUCAUCC